AACGUAGGACACAAGCGUUAUCCGGAGUUACUGGGCGUAAAGGGCGCGUAGGCGGUCAGCACAAGUCAGUUGUGAAAUCUCCGGGCUUAACUCGGAAAGGUCAACUGAUACUGUGCGACUAGAGUGCAGAAGGGGCAACUGGAAUUCUCGGUGUAGCGGUGAAAUGCGUAGAUAUCGAGAGGAACACCUGCGGCGAAGGCGGGUUGCUGGGCUGACACUGACGCUGAUGCGCGAAAGCCAGGGGAGCAAACGGG
rnacentral:rRNA from 1 species